GAUGAACGCUGGCGGCGUGCCUAAUACAUGCAAGUCGAGCGAACGGACGAGAAGCUUGCUUCUCUGAUGUUAGCGGCGGACGGGUGAGUAACACGUGGAUAACCUACCUAUAAGACUGGGAUAACUUCGGGAAACCGGAGCUAAUACCGGAUGAUAUUUUGAACCGCAUGGUUCAAAAGUGAAAGACGGUCUUGCUGUCACUUAUAGAUGGAUCCGCGCUGCAUUAGCUAGUUGGUAAGGUAAUGGCUUACCAAGGCAACGAUGCAUAGCCGACCUGAGAGGGUGAUCGGCCACACUGGAACUGAGACACGGUCCAGACUCCUACGGGAGGCAGCAGUAGGGAAUCUUCCGCAAUGGGCGAAAGCCUGACGGAGCAACGCCGCGUGAGUGAUGAAGGUCUUCGGAUCGUAAAACUCUGUUAUUAGGUAAGAACAUAUGUGUAAGUAACUGUGCACAUCUUGACGGUACCUAAUCAGAAAGCCACGGCUAACUACGUG
rnacentral:rRNA from 1 species